rnacentral:rRNA from 1 species
UACGAAGGGGGCUAGCGUUGCUCGGAAUCACUGGGCGUAAAGGGUGCGUAGGCGGGUCUUUAAGUCAGGGGUGAAAUCCUGGAGCUCAACUCCAGAACUGCCUUUGAUACUGAAGAUCUUGAGUUCGGGAGAGGUGAGUGGAACUGCGAGUGUAGAGGUGAAAUUCGUAGAUAUUCGCAAGAACACCAGUGGCGAAGGCGGCUACCUGGCCCCACUCUUGACGCUGAGGCGCGAAAGCUAGGGAGCAACG